rnacentral:rRNA from 1 species
UAAUACAGAGGGAGCAAGCGUUGUUCGGAAUUACUGGGCGUAAAGGGCGCGUAGGCGGCUUAACAAGUCCCGUGUGAAAUCCCUCGGCUCAACUGAGGAACUGCACGGGAAACUGUUUGGCUUGAGUUCGGGAGAGGGAAGCGGAAUUCCGGGUGUAGCGGUGAAAUGCGUAGAUAUCCGGAGGAACACCGGUGGCGAAGGCGGCUUCCUGGACCGACACUGACGCUGAGGCGCGAAAGCUAGGGGAGCAAACGGGAUUAGAUACCCCGGUAGUCCUAGCCGUAAACGAUGGACACUAGGUGUUGGUGGUAUCAACCCCGCCAGUGCCGAAGCUAACGCAUUAAGUGUCCCGCCUGGGGAGUACGGCCGCAAGGCUA